AGCUUUGUGCAGUGGCAGAGCCAGUGAGGUUUAUCCAAGGUGCUAUUAUUGCUGAUUGAAAACUUUUCCCAAUACCCUGCCACGAUGACUUGCAAUAUAAUUGGCAUUGGCAAUUUUUGACAGUCCCUAGGGGGA
rnacentral:snRNA from 1 species